rnacentral:rRNA from 1 species
AUGGUCUCUCGACUGUUUGACGAAGUAGUUAAGGCCAUGGAGUUGGUUCUGGAGAAACUAUUAUCAGAGGGUGAAGAAUCCAAUGAAGCUGAAGCUAGGCCUAAAUUUAGACUUGUAGUUCCUAAUAGCUCUUGCGGUGGAAUUAUUGGUAAAGAAGGAGCAACAAUCAAGUCAUUCAUUGAAGCUUCAGCGACCCAUAAAACCCGGGAAGUGAAGCCCUCUUCAAUCCUCUACCUCUCUCGCUGCUGUGUCCAGCCUGCUGCCUGCCUGCUGUGUUGCCUCAAAGAAGGGUCGGGGGCACUUGAUGUGGAGGAUGGCGACAAGGAGAAGUGA